rnacentral:rRNA from 1 species
UACGUAGGUCCCGAGCGUUGUCCGGAUUUAUUGGGCGUAAAGCGAGCGCAGGUGGUUUAAUAAGUCUGGUGUAAAAGGCAGUGGCUCAACCAUUGUAUGCAUUGGAAACUGGUAGACUUGAGUGCAGGAGAGGAGAGUGGAAUUCCAUGUGUAGCGGUGAAAUGCGUAGAUAUAUGGAGGAACACCGGUGGCGAAAGCGGCUCUCUGGACUGUAACUGACACUGAGGCUCGAAAGCGUGGGUAGCAAACAGG